CACGUAGGGCGCAAGCGUUGUCCGGAAUUAUUGGGCGUCAAGAGCUCGUAGGCGGUCUGUUGCGUCCGCUGUGAAAACUCGGGGCUUAACCCCGAGCCUGCAGUGGAUACGGGCAGACUAGAGGUAGGUAGGGGAGAAUGGAAUUCCCGGUGUAGCGGUGAAAUGCGCAGAUAUCGGGAGGAACACCAGUGGCGAAGGCGGCGACCUGGGCCAAUAUUGACGCUGAGGUGCGAAAGCGUGGGGAGCAAACAGG
rnacentral:rRNA from 1 species